GCCUUUCUUGUCCUUUACAUCUGCAAAUGGCCCUAGUUUUAGAAGGUAGCAAAAUGCUUUGGAUAAGGGAAGGGGUGGGGAGUUCUGAAUUCUUUUCGUGGUUCUGCCUUAACGUGAGUGUGAAGUUAAUCGAGGUGUGACCCUUCCCGGGCCUCUCUUUUCGUCUGUGAGGGGGCAGACUGAUCCUCCACUCCAUACCACCCCUGUCCACUUUAGAAGAGAUGAAACUGUCCAACAGCUCCAAUACUCCUGUCCUUCAUUCCCAGCUCCCAAAUUCUUGCCCCUUCUCUCCCCGCCAACGCCUUCACACCAGGGGUAAUCUCUGUCCUUCCAACAUCCCGGCUACUGUCUGUCUUUCUCUCAGUAGUAACCACUUUCCAAGUAAUAUAGCUACUUGAGCAUGUUCUCUACUUUUGCUGAAGAUUGUGAGGUCCUAGAGAGCAAAGUCCAGUGCAGGUUUAUUUUUAUAUUUCUGGUUUCUCUAAUGGUAAGUCCUCAAUAAAGAUUUGUUGAAGGAAUGAAUCUUCUAUAACCAUGUACAGCAGCUGCCCUAAUGGGAGGCUCAGUGUAGGCUGGAACCUGUGACAGGUUCUCUUCCUCAUAUCAUAUCUGAAUUUAACCAUCAGUUAGAAGGGUGUUUGCAGUGAGAAAAAUGAUGUUCUGAGAGGUUACAUGACUUCCCUGAAGUCCCACAGCUCUUAAGUGGUGGAAACCUGUUUGAACUCAUGUCUAUUACCCGCUUUGUCUUAGCAAUGACAAAAAUUAAUGUGUGAUCUGCAUACCAAGGACUUGGAAAGGAAACAAAUUUUAUAGUUAACUAUGGGGAUGCAAAUUUUUCCCUAUUUAAUUUUAUCAUUAAAGCAUCUUUCCUUUCUCCUUUCAAGGAAUCUGGAUUCUGCAAAGAAUGGACUUUGGGAGCUGGGAUUGUGUCUAAGACUAGAGACAGGAAGUAAAAGAACAGAAUUCUUUCUUUCUGGUUUGAAGCUAACUCUCAAGGUCAGACUGGCUCAGUCACCAGGCUAUAGUCUCUUGUGAGCCUCUUGCUUGAAGAAAGUUGAUUAAAAAAAGAAACUCAUGGCUUUGCCUACAUUGUACUUGAUGACAUGGAAAACAAAGCUAUGUCUGUAAUAUUGUCUUUUUCUCUGUACCCCCUUCUCCUACUUCUUACCUCAUCUUCUCACCCUUUUGUACCUUUGCAUAUGCUAUUCACUUACCUGAAAUGAUUUUCUCUUCCUUUCCUGUAUUCCAUUAGGUAAACUCCUGGUUGUCCUUUAAAACUCAGCCUAAAGUCAUUUCCACUGUAACGACUUCUUGGACCCAAACUAUCCAAGUAGUUGUGCCCAUAGCUCUUGAUUCUAUAGCUUAUAAUAUAACACCCUGUAAUUAUUGCUUUAGUUUUGCUUCCCCUAACUAUUUAUCUUAGUACUGCUAGGAUGUGUCAUAGUUUCUAGCUCUGAGUAGGUACUCUGUAUGUAUUUGUUGAAUAGCAGAAUGAACAAAUGAACCCAGGCACAGACCUAUAGUAGAUGCUUAGUAAGUCAUCUCGGAAGAGCUUAACAAACUUGCUUAAUUCUCAACCUAUAGAUCUAUCUGGAUAAGUGGUAAGUAAUUACGCAUGACUACUUUGAGUUCACAUUUUAAUCUCCCCUUUUAAUUUGUCAGACUUUGGUAGGAGAGUUGGGUAGCAAUGGGUAUUUCAAACAUUUCCACCAUGUAGCCUGAAUUGCAAGAGAGAGGGAAUGAAUAAUUCAGGGUGGCCAAGUGACAUUUAUUUAAAAUCUCAUGUUUUAUUUAGCUUUUUCUUUUUAACUUCAUAGCGUAUCUCUUAUAUAAAAUGAAUAGUUGUUUCCACUCACCUCCAAAGAGCCGUUUGAUUCUGUGCUUGAGUAUCCUUGGGAGCCCCUUAGACUCCAGUGAGAGAAGUUUUGGGCAGUCAUGAAUUCCUGACUAUCAUCCGUAGUGUGACUUGGUCUGUGGUUUAUGCAUCUGUAGGAGGAGGGUUUGGAGGUCACAAUCUCUAAGGCUCUUUCAUCUCUCCAGAGCAGGGACUUCGAGGCCAGCGCUUACUGUAUUGGUGGUGGAAGGAGUUGGAUUGUGUACAUUGACUUAUUGUUUGUCUUGGAUUGGAAAUAAAAUCCUGUUUAUGAAGAGGUGAAGUUGUUCAUUUGUAAGAAAACUCACACAUGUGUUGAGUUUUCAUACAAUUUUUCUAUCUAUGAUUAGUUUCAGUUGGAUCUUAAUCAUCACAUCAGUUCUUGCAAUGUACCUAUUAUAACAAAAUCACAUUGAAUUGUUUGCUAUAAGCACAAAAGUUUGUUACAGUGGAAUUUACCUAUCCUACUCGUUAAUAUGUGACCUAUUUAGAGUGAAUAUUUUUAAAUCUGAAGGACUUCUGUGUCAUGUAACUAUGCUCAUGGUUACUUUUGUCACAGAACUUCAAAAGAGUAUGACCCACAAGGAUUGCUAAUUAUGUUUUGCUGACAAACUAAAGUUCAUAAAAUUCAUAAGUUUAUUCUACCUUAGAAGUAUAAAAAUAUCUGUCACUACAACUCAGAAAUCCUAAUAAAGCUUUCCAAAAUUCUAGAACAGAACUUAUAUUACAAGGUGCAGAAAUAGCAUUUGGGAAGCUUUAAAAACAAAGACCCCUGGGACACUCUUUCCAAAGUGAUUUUGAUUCAGUUAGUAUGGUUCAGGGCCUAGAAAUUUGCAUUUUCCCAAGCACCUCAUAUGUGAUUUUGAUGCAUGGGGUUCCCAGCGCACAAUUUAUGAAACACUAAAAUGGAAAUUCUAGUGUUAUAUUUGCCUUGGGAAGACAAAGCUCAUGAAUCUUUACUAGACUCUGAGUGAAGCCCAAGAAUUAUGGUGCAUUGUUAAAGAAGCCUGGUAUAUAUAUGCAUAUGCAUACAAAUAGUAUUUUGUUUGUGUGUGUGUAAAUGAGUGAGUGUGUGUAAAUGAGUGUGUGUGGAAAAUUGCUCAGUCAGUCAUAACUGUUUUUCUGUUAAGUGGCAAUUUGCUUAAGUUUUUUCUUUCGGGGGGGGCAGUGAGCAAUUUUAUAAGAUCAUGGAUCCUAUUUUUCUUCAUGUCUUACUGAAUCAAAACUCAACAGCACUUGAUAUCACACUAAGACAUUGGAGUUAGAAGAAGUCAGUGAAAUAAUUUACAAAACCUCAAGUAGAAUAAGCAAGAUUUUCUGAUUCUUGGACACAUAUCCUACUAGAACCAUAACUGAUACUUCUUCCUCUUAAAAGCAGCAGUUUUACCUUUCCCUCAGAAGAAAGGUGAAUGUAAGGGCAGAGGAAGAAAAAACUGUG
rnacentral:lncRNA from 1 species